rnacentral:rRNA from 1 species
UACGGAGGGUGCAAACGUUGCUCGGAAUCAUUGGGCGUAAAGCGCACGUAGGCGGCUUUCUAAGUCGGGGGUGAAAUCCUGGAGCUCAACUCCAGAACUGCCUUCGAUACUGGAGAGCUUGAGUCCGGGAGAGGUGAGUGGAACUGCGAGUGUAGAGGUGAAAUUCGUAGAUAUUCGCAAGAACACCAGUGGCGAAGGCGGCUCACUGGCCCGGUACUGACGCUGAGGUGCGAAAGCGUGGGGAGCAAACAGGG